UUGUAUUAAAAACAAACAAAAGAUAACAAUAAUCAUACACGUGUCUAAAAUUGGGCUAGGAAAUGUUAGAACAUGAAUGGUGUUUGCCGAGUUGUUUUUAGGCAGGUGGUGUCUUGCACUUAUCAUAGACCUCUGUUCGCAGAUUAAUGGUUUUUGUAUGAUAAAAAAAUCCAUGGGUGAAACUAUAGGUGGGCUGCAGGAACUCCUAAAUUAAAAAAAGCAAUGCUCUCAAGCAGAUACUUUCAAGGACAUGCUGAAUUAAUCACAAGAGGCUGGUUAGCAGGAGGUCAGAGCCAGACUCCUUACUAUCAUUUUGGGUCAUAUGUCUAGAGGCGAUUACAGUAUGUAUGUGCUGUAUCGCAAUAUUCCCCUUCUAGUUUACUUCACAGUCAAAAAAGGAUGAAGGCAUAUUACAUAGGGCUCUGUUGAAAGAAAAGAAACACAAUGCUAGGACAAUACUUUACAAAUUGCUUGAGAAACAAUUUGACAAUGACUGCUAUCAACAUUUAAGAAUCUUUCUUCAAUGGCAUGUAAGAAAUCGGUUUCGGUAUUGUUCAGAAAGGUUACUGUUUAUGCGAAACAAAAAUCUACAUUUAUAGAUACAUAGCUCAGGGUUCUUAGAUGGAACACGACAAUUUGAUUAAUAAUUGUAAAAAUAUAUUUUAAGCAUAGGUCUUAUUUUAACUAAAUGCUGCUUUUUUGUUAGUAAAGUAAUCUGUGUAAACGCAGAAUUAUUAUGAUUUAGAAAAAUGUUUUUUUUUAUUGUAGUGCUAUGAAAACCCAUUAAAUAUAGUUUUGGUAAUAAA